rnacentral:rRNA from 1 species
CCUACGGGAGGCAGCAGUGGGGAAUAUUGGACAAUGGGCGAAAGCCUGAUCCAGCCAUGCCGCGUGUGUGAAGAAGGCCUUCGGGUUGUAAAGCACUUUCAGUGGGGAAGAAAGCCUUGGGGCUAAUACCCUCGAGGAAGGACAUCACCCACAGAAGAAGCACCGGCUAACUCCGUGCCAGCAGCCGCGGUAAUACGGAGGGUGCGAGCGUUAAUCGGAAUUACUGGGCGUAAAGCGCGCGUAGGCGGUCUGAUAAGCCGGUUGUGAAAGCCCCGGGCUCAACCUGGGAACGGCAUCCGGAACUGUCAGGCUAGAGUGCAGGAGAGGAAGGUAGAAUUCCCGGUGUAGCGGUGAAAUGCGUAGAGAUCGGGAGGAAUACCAGUGGCGAAGGCGGCCUUCUGGACUGACACUGACGCUGUGGUGCGAAAGCGUGGGUAGCAAACAGGAUUAGAUCCCCCGGUAGUC